rnacentral:lncRNA from 1 species
AAAUAUUGUUCUCUAAAUUGCUAAAUAAACCUAGGUACUAUAUUUCUGGAUUCAGUAAUUUUAAAUGCAAAUAUAUUACUUGAUCAUCGCAUGCCUCAAGUAAUGAUUCCUACUAUCCUCCAUUAGUUUUACUGCCUUUUUGCACCUCAAUUCCUACACAUUGCAGUUUUCUCUGUACGAGGAAAGCUUCUUAUCAAUUGGUCUCUCCCAUGAGAUGCCUAAGCUAUCCCGGUUGCCACCCGAGACAGGAUAAAAGCAAUACAUUUACUAUUCAUCAUCGAUUCUUAACUUGUUUGUGAGGGCUUUUCCCCAAAACCAGUAGCCACAUAAAAGCUUGACAUCAUUGAGGGAUUUCCAAGUUCCAAAUUAGCUUAUAAAGCUCAUAAAAGAGUCAACCAUAGGUCACAAAGGUGCCAUAAUACUUGUCAAAGUGAGCACCUUGGAGUAAUAUGAAGUGAAGCAUUUACAGAUUAAUUGAAAAAAAUAUAAUGCAGUUCUAAAUCUUAUGGCAGAAGUGCUAUUUCUCACUUUGCAAGAAACAUCGGAAGCUAUUGCUCUGAUACCAAUGAUCAUUUAGAGAAAGGA